CCCAUUCGUAGUAAUCCUCUGUAUGGAGGAGGCUGUUACAUAACCACAAAGGCACAAAGCUGCAGUUUUGAGAACAUCUUCCCACGCCAGUUCUAAGCAUUGACUUCAACUAUGGUUGCUAACACAAGAAUCGGCACUGGUGACUUUUGAGCCAUCAAUCAUCCUUUCCUAACACAUGAAUCUUUUGGAAAAUGGUCUCAAAUAGUCAAGACCCCCUGCUGGGAGGAGCUUCUAUCCUGCUCUGUGGAAGAAAUGGGCAUGCCAGAUGCCUGGAAGAUCAGAGGCUCACAUUCCAGCUGUAGGUGGCCCACCAGGUGUCAACAACUGUAGAGUUCCAUCAAGAGUCAUCAUUUUACAGUUACAAGUCGGAGGGGCCUUCACAGAUCCGUCAGGCUCAACACUGCCUCCUUAGUGAGCCUGUGAACCACCCAAGACGGCUGGUCAUCAGUGUCAUCCUCUUCCUUUUCCGGACAACUAUCUUUAAAAGAAAAAAAAAGAGUGUCUUUGAAUGUAUCCAUUUUAUCCCCAAAUAAUCUUGUUUAAUAAAUUCCUUAUUAGGCCAAAUCCAAUGUGCUGAAAUAUCUGCCAAGCAUGUCAUUCUACACAAAAGGGAUUUGCAAAUAGCCAGUAGUUGGCGUGAAGAAAGGACAUGUGAAAGCGCUGGGUGUGGAAUUUCCCAUCCUCGGCCGGAGGUCUACUACAGCUCGCUGUUUGCAGAUCUGGGCUGAGCUAUGCAUCACAUUGUUCAUGAAAGAAAAAGCAACUGCUCUCCCCAGUGCCCCUUCCCCGCUCCACAUGGCUGCGAUCAGCAGCCCCAAGACCCUAAUUGCCACAGCCUAUUAGAAAUAAUGAGACUUACAUGGCAGAAGCCAAGGGUAAAAGCGACAUCUCGCAACACGAAAGGUUAAUAUCAACAUAUACAGCUAGUGAGUGCAAAGGGCACCUCAGUUGGUGGCUCAUUAUGGCGGGCUGACCCAUAGGGAAAGUGUCAUUCUGCAGAGAGGCCUUUCUCAGGAUGUGGCAGCAAAAGUUACAAAAGAUAAGGACUUGCCUGUGAAACGCACUCAACUAAUGAGAGCUGAAGAUUGUUUGAAAUAUCCCGAUGACCUCACAGAUGGGGGAUGCUGAUUAAGAUGGCUACAGGAGGCUCCUUUCUUGUCUGACAGCCCAUUGAGAAGCUUUGGUGAGAUGUGACUAACAGGCCGUGAAGGUGUCUCCAUCUUCUCUGACAUGGUCCAUGCUUUGGGCAAAACAAACAUGAAAAAUAAGUCUGAACUGACACACAUGUUUGAAUUUAGUUUUCAGAGCCAUAUUUGGGGGAAGGAGCACUGGUGGGGCCGUCAGCGAUGAUUCCUUUAUGGUAAAGGGUGUUCGUGACUACUUGCGUGACUAAUCGCAUGACUGCGCUGGGGGGUGAGCCAACGGCAAAUUGAGGUCUUGAACACUUGACAAAACAACCCCUGUUCUGUGGGUGAAAUUCUAUAGAGCUUCAUGCGUAAUUAAAUGAAAGUUUCACAAGAGUCUACACCUCAAUCAUUUAAUGCCGAUAUGUAGCACAAAGGAAGGAUUUUUGCCACAUCAAAAUACAUCCAUGAAACAAUGGAGAAAUGUCCCAAGUUUUCAGAGUCAGAGAUACUCACAGAAGAAACCCUGGAGUUCUCUUGACCUUCAUUUAGUGCCUGGGACUCUGA
rnacentral:lncRNA from 1 species